UGUCAUUCACGGAGACCGCCGAACGGUGGAGGGGGGUUGCAGGUGGAGCGGGCCGGCAGGAUUUAGAUGCUGCCAGACCUGCUGAGCUUCGCCAGCAACUUUGUUUUUGUUCCUGAUUUGCAGCAUCCACAGUUCUUUUGGUUUUUAUUCAGGAUUGUCAGGAGUUUAAUUAACAUUCAAUAUUUGUAGUGACUCUGGGAGCAGUGGGACUUGAUUUCCACACAAGUUUCAGAUUGAAUUGUCAAUAUCCUGGAAAUACCCCAAGUUGAAAGUUUUUUGCCAUGAAGAGUGGUUACCUACCUGUGAAUAGGAGAACGCUAGACCAGUGACGGAGAAAACCACUUCACCACUUGUGAUGAGAAGGUAUUGGGGAAUCUGCCACGCCAUGUGGAAAGUGUUUGGUCCAAUUUCUUCAAUGUAAUUUAGUUUAAAAUUACCUGUGGAACACUUAACAGAGAAAACACUGUCAUAUAUGCGGGAAAAUAUGCAACAAAAUCACAACCUACAUUCAACAUACCCCAAAAGGAAAGGUCAGGAGUGAUGCAACACAGGAAGAAGACGCUACUCAGUCUCUCAAAACCAUUCUGUUUUUCCAAUAAGAUCAUAGCUGAUCUGUAUCUUAACUCCACCCAUCCCCACCAGCACCAUCCUACUACUGGUUUCAUAACCCUGAAUACCCUGCCCUAAUGAAAAUCUUCCUCAAUCUCAGUUUUGAAAUUUCAAUUGACCCCAAAAGCAAUUUGUCACAAGGAGAAUUCCAGAUUUCCACCACUCUUUGAGGAAGUACUUUCUGUUUCCUCCAUAGGAUGAAGCUGUUGUUGACAAAGUUGAUGUUUUUUUGCCCGUGUUCUUUGCCCAUAAUAAUGUGGUGUUUGAGCCACCUUUUCGAAGCAUUAAUCCCUUGAAUAAUCCACUCUAAUUACACGGUUCUGCCCCCUUGUUCUGGGCUUCCUCGCCAGAGAAAUAAUUUCUCUUUAUUAAACUCUAUUUAGUCUUUUAAUCAUCCUAAGCGUUCCAAUCACAUUGCCCAUUAAUGUUCUACGCGUAAAGGAAUACAGAUCAGUUCAUGCCUUUGUGACUUAGGCUUUUCAAUGCUGUUUUUAAUUCAUUAAUGGGAUCAGGACAUCACUGGCUAGGCAAAAUUUUUUAUUGUCCAUCUCUAAUUGCCCAGAGGGCAGUUCCAAGUUAACCACAUUGCUGUGGUCUGGAGUCACAUGUAGGCCAGACCAGUUAAGGAUGGCAGUUUCGUUCCCCGAAGGGCAUUAGUGAACCAUCCUCAGUAUAGAUGGAGGUAUAUUGUCAAAGUCAAUGAUCUUUUGCUCCUUUUCUAUUACGUGUGUGGGAUUUUACUUGCGAUACCCUCCCAAAUAUUGGCUCGAGUCCACAAUGCUUUCCUUAAAACUCUUUUUGGAGCUAACCCUUGAUUGAGGAUUACCUUCACUAGCGUGACUAAGGACUCCUGACAGCCAUAAUAAGCUACCUAGUUUUGUGUCUGCACUAGAUGGCAUGGCAAGACAACAGAACUGUGAGUCUGGUAGCUCUGGCUGAAGGUCAAGGUUCAGAUCAGGGAUGCUGUGAACAUCCAGGUAGGCUCCAAUGAGUGAACAUUAUGAUAGCAAGUAAACAGUCCAGAGAGUCACCCUGGUCCAGUCCAUGAGCUGGGAGCAUGCUCCUGAUCUUUCAGGGUCCUUGAUGUAGAAUUACAAUGGAAAUCGUCAUUGAAGUUUGAGGUACAACAUUCGAGUGGAGGAGUAAAUGCAUCAAAGAUGAGCCAUGAGGGGCCUGAGAGUCUGGCACAUAUCAGAUGCCUGUAUCUGCAGACAUUGGGUGAAUAUGGCCAGUGUCCAUGGGGCAUGACCUGAAAUGUUGGGGUCUAGUGUCCAAUUUGGAGAUCUUUUGGAGCAAGCAGUGAACUGGAGUUCUCAAGUAUCUGCUCUAACUUUCAUAUCAAGGGUACGUGAGGUGUCACUGCCCAUGGAGUGUGGUAGGAAAGAAAGCUGUAUAUCAAUGAGGGUAGAUUUUCAAUUCAUAAGCCAUAGUGCCCCUCUUAACAGAAAACUUGCUGCUGUCUUGUGUGACUCACGUCUCAACAUCCAGAACUUAGUUAAAAAAAUGGAACAACUUGCUCCCAAUGUUGAGAACCGCCUUGCUGGGAAUUUACUGGACUUCUCAGCAUAGUCCAUGUCACUAUAAGAUUCGGUCCUAUAUUUUUCAUUGGCUAAAAUGGGAUUUAAACGUCAUGAAGAAAGGCAUUGUCUGAAUUCCAGUUCAUUCCUUUAAAGAAUUUGACUUGUUUUAACUAAUUUAAAAGUAAUUGUUUUCUCUCCCCGUCUGUUUUAGUCAAUGAGGAAAUCUAUUCCCAGGUUUCUGCUGAAGUCAUCUUAUAAAUAAGCAAUAAUCUCUGAAGGUGAACUGUUUGUCACUGCAUUCUGUAUUUUCAAUAACACACUGGCAAGGCCAAUACCUCAAAAGAUGUGAUUUCUAUUUGUAAUGUGUUGUUUCAGUAUUACUGCACGAUCAGUUCACCUGUAUUGAGGUACAUUUUAGUUUAUAUACAAAAAACAAACAUAAAAGCUUUGUGCUCAAAACUGUUACAUUUCCAGAACACAAUUUUAAUACAAGCAGAUAUUUGACUAUUUAAAACAUCAAACCCUGCAUUUAUGUAGCACUUUUAAUGUAACUAAAUGUUCCAAGGUGUAUCGUAGGAGCAAAAUUGAACACCGAGCUGCAUCACAUGCUAUUAGGCCAUAGGAUUAAAAACUGAGCAAAGACGUAGUAAUUUAAACAAAUGAAGGGAAGAGGGAUUUUGGAGGGGGAUUCCAUAACUUUAGCAUUUGAUGGCACAGCAACCAAUCCAAUGUUGUGAUUAAAAUCAGAGGGCAGCAAAGAUUUGACAGAGUUGUAGGCUGAAAGAGGAUAUGGGGCUCGAAAGGAUGGUUUUUCUCUGGGGAAACGGUUUUACAAAUAAAAUUGAAAUGCCACAUGAAUGAGAACCAGCUUGUCACAAAUGAACUACUUACUGUUUCAUUAAUGAUGAUUGUAAAAGAGCUUCCAAAACCAAAUUCCUUUGAUGUUUGUUCACAUUUCGUUCCAUUAAUGAUGUAUGAGAUUCUUUUCCUAAGUGAGACAGAAACUUGAACAUGAAUAUUUUACAGUCAACAAAGUUUGGUUGCAUUAACCACACUUUGUUCUGAUUCUCACUUGCUACUUUGCUUUCCUUUCUCUCAUGUAUUGCCACUAAAUUUAUUGCAAUUUCUAGGGACAAUGGGAUUAAUUUAGAGAUCCCACACUUCCAGUAGGAAGCAGUUCUUAAAGAGGGAACACAUUCUGGACACAUUUUCAUUACUCUUACUCUCUACCUUCUACAUUAUCAUGAUCCCAGCUGAUAAUAAUCUUGAAUAGUUCAAAUUCCAGGUGAAACCAUCUUGAUAGGCCAUAAGAUUUACAUUUGCUUACCAUGGCAGUCAGUCACUUAGCAUAUUCAUAAAAGUCUGCCAAUCUACUUUUAAUAACAGCAGACAAAUCUAUUGCAUGAGGGAAAUAAGAAAAAAUUUAAGAUAUAAAUAUAUAUACAAAUUGGAAGGAUAUUCUGAUAAGCAGUCAAAAAGAAAGACCCAACACUUGUCCCAGCAAUUUCCUUUGGAGAUACUCACAACCGAUGAAUUAUCAUUCUCAUCUUGACACAAUGAUUUCUUACCGAACUGACAGGGUCACAUGUAUUUCUAUUGAACAACUUUCUGCACAUUCACCAGAUGUGAUCAUGUAUAGACAUAGGCGAACUCACUAACUUUUGUCUCUGAACUCUAAGUGGAAAUAUCAUGUUUUUUUUCUAGUUAGUUUGACCUGCUAAACAGGUCAUCUGCUGGUGGGGAUCUUUUCUAAGCUGAACCUGCUUCUCUCUUCUGGCCUCUCUUUCUCUGAGUGAUAAAAGCUCAAAGUAGUAAAUAUUUCAGCACAAACCGUAUCAGGAAGCUUCCAAUUGGCAAGCUCACUCUGAAUCCCAUGUAACCUAACUUUACUAACUGGUCUACCAUGUGGAACGUUGUCAAAGGCCUUACUAAAGUCCAAGUAAACAAUGUCAACUUCUCUGCCCUCAUCAAUCUUUUUGGCAACUUUCCUAAAAAACCCAGUCAAGUUUGUAAUACACAAUUUUCCUCACACAAAACCAUGCUGACUAUCCUUAAUCAAUUUUUACCUCUCUAAAUAUCCAUAAAUCCUAUCUUUUAUAAUCACCUUCAACAAAUUACCCACAAGUGAAGUCAGACUUGCAGGUCUAUAGUUCCCCAGUUCCUCCUUCCAAUCUUUUCUAAACAAAGGUACCACAUUAGCCACCCUCCAGUUGUUACGCACUUCACCCAUAGCUAUAGAUGAUGCAAAUAUUUCUACAAGGGGACUUGCAAUUUUCUCCCUUCCCACAAAAUUCUGGGAUAUGUUAGAUCAGGUCCCGAAGAUUUAUCUGCCUUUAUAUUCUCUAAGACCUCUCAAACUUCUUCUUCUGGAAUGUUAACUGUUUCUAAAACAUCAAAAUUUGUUACUCUGUAUUCUCUGGACUCCAUUUCUUUCUCCACAGUAAAAACUGGCACAAAAUAUUCAUUUAGCGUGUCUCCCAUCUCUUCAGGUUCAACACAAAGAAGGACCCCUUGAUCUUUAAGAUGUUCUACCCUCCCUCUAGUUACCAUUUUGCUCUUAAUGUAUUCAACUCAACCUCUGAUUCAAUUCCAUUAUUUUUCUGCUUAAACUACCAGGAGGUCCCAGGUAAAAUUAAAGAACAAUUCAAAUCAAAAUUAAACUACUUAAAAAUUACUUACACAUCUCAUAUUUUACAUGGCUGUGCCUUAUCCUGUGAUGUACUGAGAGGUAAUACUGUUGUUGUUAAUGUUCUGCAAUUCAACAGCAUUUCUUUCCAAAGUCUGUUUUUCUAUAGAGUAUGAAAGGCAUUACAACAUUUCCUGAAUUCAACCCAUCGGCUAAAUUGGACUAACUCCUCUAAUCAACCCAAAGUCAGUAACAGAACUAACAUUACAAUGGUAACCUUUGUUGCAGUUUAUGUGAUGGGGAUGGCGGAGGACAUACACAUCACCUGACUAUCUCAUUGCCCUGGGCUGUUUGAGUUCAGUACCCAAUGGGUUUAAACAGCUGUUAACUGAACAGGAAUUCUUUGUGGAUCAGGUCUACUGCAAGGAUGAGAGAUUGAAGGAAUUUUAUAAGGGUCAUUCACCCGUGUCUUGAUGGAUUGUGAGGUAACCGCCUGGGUCAGUGGCUUUAUAACAAUAAAAUGAUUAAAAGAGCUUAAUUGUACCUUUUUCCAUGGCAACAGAAAGAUUAGAAGGGAUUCAGAUGAUUUAUGAGUGACAUGAAUGAAGUAUAGAGAU